AACAGGCCUAACACAUGCAAGUCGAGCGGGCAUAGCAAUAUGUCAGCGGCAGACGGGUGAGUAACGCGUGGGAACGUACCUUUUGGUUCGGAACAACUGAGGGAAACUUCAGCUAAUACCGGAUAAGCCCUUACGGGGAAAGAUUUAUCGCCGAAAGAUCGGCCCGCGUCUGAUUAGCUAGUUGGUGAGGUAAUGGCUCACCAAGGCGACGAUCAGUAGCUGGUCUGAGAGGAUGAUCAGCCACAUUGGGACUGAGACACGGCCCAAACUCCUACGGGAGGCAGCAGUGGGGAAUAUUGGACAAUGGGCGCAAGCCUGAUCCAGCCAUGCCGCGUGAGUGAUGAAGGCCCUAGGGUUGUAAAGCUCUUUUGUGCGGGAAGAUAAUGACGGUACCGCAAGAAUAAGCCCCGGCUAACUUCGUGCCAGCAGCCGCGGUAAU
rnacentral:rRNA from 1 species